UAUAGACUAGGACAGAGGAAGGAGACCUUUCAUACAAUUUAAACUUGGAAUGGAUUGGAUGUUGCUGUUUGGAGCUGAGGCAGCCGUCCUGUGACCAUCUGUCAACAAAGACCCUUCGUAAAGGCGUGACCUGCUUCAAGAAACACGAUAUUUGAAAAUAUGAAAUCUACACAUCGAGACACAUUAAGAGUGACUGUUCGCAUGACAAAAGGGUUUGCCACUUUACAAAAGAUUCAUCCCAGUGUUUCUUAAAGAACCAUACAACUGUGAUGUAUUUUAAAUGUCUUUCAAUUAAAAGAA
rnacentral:lncRNA from 1 species